AUGCUCGUGUACCAGGACAAGCUUUCCGGCGACGAGCUUCUGUCGGAUUCGUUCCCGUACAGGGAGCUGGAGAACGGCGUGCUCUGGGAAGUCGACGGCCAUUGGGUCGUUCAAGGAGCAGUUGAUGUGGACAUUGGAGCCAAUCCCUCUGCUGAGGGUGGUGGUGAUGAUGAGGGUGUCGAUGACCAGGCCGUGAAGGUGGUUGACAUUGUUGACACCUUCCGUCUUCAGGAGCAACCUGCUUUUGACAAGAAGCAGUUUAUCUCUCACAUGAAGCGCUACAUCAAGAACCUCUCUGCCAAGCUUGAAGGGGAUGACCUAGAUGUUUUCAAGAAGAAUGUUGAGUCUGCCACAAAGUAUCUUCUUAGCAAGCUCAAGGACCUUCAGUUGUAA
rnacentral:rRNA from 1 species